AGGUCGCUACGAUUUUCGUCAAGUAGAAUCGCGAAAUGAGAAUGGCUCGUGCUCGCUCUGGAACUGUUGCGGGGCUUGUGCAGAUAGGACGGAUAAGGGAAACUUUUGUAAGAUUGAAGUUACACGUUCUGCGGCAAUUUACUAUUCCUUUGGGGCUCCCGUGACUCACGCAUGGAACUUCGAUUGCACUGUUUUACAAUCUUGAUAAAAAGAGUGUGUGUACUGACAGUGAACGAAAGAAAGGUCGUUUGGGUUAUUCGAGAACAUUUCUGGCGAAGAGCGAUUGGGACAGCGACAGUGGAGAGAACGAAGAAUGGGAAUCAGACUUGGAGACAUCAAUGCCCGAUGCGUGGUCGCCGUAUGUCACUGUCACCCGCCAGACAGCGCAACAUCCAUGUCAUCGAACAGCUCAACCAUUGCAUCAUCGUAAAUUGAAAUCAACCAAUCGGAUGAUUUAAAAUUAUAUUAGUCGCUACUGCGCGGCGGUACCAAUGCAGCAAAGGAGCGGAAGUGACGAGAAACCGGUGGAAGAUAUAGCACCGAUCAGAGGCGGCUGCGAGUUGACGCAAUCAAUUAUGUUCUGGCCGUCUCUCUCGCAAACGGUGUUACUGCUGCGGUCGGAAGUAACAGUUUAUUACUACUGCAAACCCCGGCCACAGGCGUACGUAAUACACGCCGACGACGUUCAUCGAGUAUCUUCGAUGGAGUCUAUUGAUUUGAACCAUGCGACCGCACAUAACACCGUUCCGUGCCACCAGAAAUUUCGAGCUUCCGGCACCGAUCGAGAAAAACAGAGCGAUUGACUCGCGAUGCCCGCCCAGAGGAAAUUAAUGUAAACUCGACGAAAUUGUAAACUGAUCCCGAGCUAAGAGCCGGCUGGAACACGCGACGUCCCAUUUCAGAAUUACUCGGUGUAUCGUCGAUUUAAGUGUUGGACCUUUCCUUUAUGUUCGGAAACAUGCUAUCGGGGCACAGUGGUGGAUUUUAUGGGGACGUAGGGAAGCGAUGACGACGGUCCCACGCUGAUUUCGUCAUGGCCCGAAAGCCAGUAGUAGAAACGCGGUUUGUGAAUCGUCUGUGCGGAGAACUCGGUGUUUAUUGAUCCCUUGCGGGGCUGACCAACGGUCAAUGAGAUACGGUCUCUCCCUUGCAUGCCGCCCUACGGGCUAAGAGCCCUGCAUUGGUCUCCUUAACGGAAGUUAGCCACCACCCCCCCAAGCUACUCCGUGAUUCAUGCCCUCUAGGAGACGUGAGACGACAUAGAAAAUCGGUGGAUACUUCGAAUCGGAAAAACCGCAGGUAUACAUUUGGAAAGAAGCAUGAUGUUCCAAUGAUAUUCCUCGAAGAGAUAUUCCAAGCAAAACGUCGAGAAGAAACGAAAAGCGAUUGGCGUGCCCAGGGUACGAAACGGGAUUCUUAUCGAAGGGUUCAAUUUACCGCAGCAUACAACAAUGACGUACGGCGAACAGUUGUAUAUACGAUAGCAGAUUUUCUAGCCGAAUCAUUCCCGCGGUUGCGGCAGGAAAUAUGGAAAGUGCAAAUUAACCCUGCGCAACCCAGUUUCCCGUGCUUAUUAAUUCGGUUCCGUGGAGCUGAUAAGUUUUUCUAAUGACAGCGUACAGAAAUCCAGGUCGUCGAUGGAGGAACGCGGACGAGAAACCUUCUAAUGGGGUUAAUUUCCGAGAUCCAGAGGGAUGAACGUGCGCACGGGAGGCCGAGAAUAUACAGAUGAACAAUAAACGUGGACGAUUAUGAGCCGUCGAGGGAUAGGGUGGGAAAGGAUCGAAAGCGGAGGGUAGGAAAGGAAGCGUUGGUUGCGCGCAAUCGCGGCCAACCCCUAUUCUCACCCCUCUUUCCCUGCACCAAUACCUCAACCCUCCUCUCCGCCAAGUGAAACGCUCCGAUCCCCACCAUUUCGACGCAGGAUUCACCUACGCGAGACCUCGAUCCCAACUGCCACGUGGCUUUGGUAAACAAUGCCAGAAUUACUUAACCCUUUUUACACCCUUAACCCAUAUACCGGCGUCUCCGUGCCCCAUCGAUAAUUAUCGUACGAAAUUAUGCACGCGUUGCCAUCGACGUAUCCUCGAAAAAAAACGGGUGGCGAGUUUUAAUGAACCCUCCCUAUUUUACAAUCACAUGUGAAACAAUGUCAAUCUGUUAUUGCUGUUAAGCUCUGCAACUGCAAAUAUUUAUAUUAAUCAAUAUUAUUUUUUAAUUUUACGGUACACAAAAUAACGAGCAUAAACCCCGGAAAUAAAUCUUCAAAGUGGACUUCGAGUGAUCCAGAAUCUAUAGGAUAAUUGAAAACCAUGCAGCUGUUUAAAUAAUUCAAUAUACAUACGUUAAUGAAUUGUUAGUUUAAUUAUACACGAGGCUCGUAAGUCUGUUUAAGGAUCAGAGAAAGUCGCAUGAUCGUGCAACACCCAGGCAAGUUCCCAGCACAGC